AGAAUCAACGCUGGCGGCGUGCCUAACACAUGCAAGUCGCACGAGAAAGCGGAGCAAUCCGUGAGUAAAGUGGCGCACGGGUGAGUAACACGUGAAUAAUCUACCUCCGAGUGGGGAAUAACUGAGAGAAAUCUUAGCUAAUACCGCAUAACACUUACGAGUCAAAGCAGCAAUGCGCUUGGAGAGGAGUUCGCGGCCGAUUAGUUAGUUGGCGGGGUAAUGGCCCACCAAGACGAUGAUCGGUAUCCGGCCUGAGAGGGCGCACGGACACACUGGAACUGAAACACGGUCCAGACUCCUACGGAGGCAGCAGUGGGGAAUUUUGCGCAAUGGGGAAACCCUGACGCAGCAACGCCGCGUGGAGGAUGAAAUAUCUUGGUAUGUAAACUCCUUUCGAUGGGGAAGAUAAUGACGGUACCCAUAGAAGAAGCCCGGCUAACUUCGCGCCAGCAGCCGC
rnacentral:rRNA from 1 species